GGUCUGAUAGUUCAAUGGAUAGAACGUAUCACUACGGAUGAUAAGAUAUAGGUUCGAUUCCUAUUUGGACUA
rnacentral:tRNA from 1 species